rnacentral:lncRNA from 1 species
CCUCCCUACCCGGACUGUGGGGGGCACCGCCGGGGGACAGACACCCAGCAGGUAACCCCAGCCUGGCUCGCCCUCCCUCUCUGAUUUUCCUCCACACCCUCCCGGAUGACCCCUUUCCCCCUUUUCUGUCUCCCGGAUUUUCUCAGUGUUGCCUCUUUCCGAGUCGUCCUUGUUUCAUCUCCCCCCACUUGGGCUUGUUGCCUGCUGGCCGCGCCACCAGCCGUCUCGUGCAGCCUGGCUCUUCCCCUCGCCCCACAGCCUGUGCGCCCCAGGCCAGGCCUUCUGCAGCACUUCUUCCCUCCAAUACAACCGCCACACAAAUACUAUCAACUACAGGAAUACAUCCCCUCUUCCCUAGUUCUACAUUCUCCUCCCUGUCUGGGAGAGUUCCAGCCUCAAGAACCCUUUUCCAGCAGAAGGGCCUUGCCUGUUUGGCUUUCCCAGACUGCAGCUGACCACAACCCUGGUGAGGGGCUUUGCUUGGGUUACAAAUAACACUUCCUUGGGGGCAGUGUCAUCAGCAGCCACAGAAGAUUGCGGCAUAUUGCAU